AUAGCUCAAGAGUGAAAGCCCAAAAAGCCGAUAAAGCCCAAACAAUAGAAAGUUGAGAGUUUUAUUAACCCUUUUCCAUCCCUUCAAUUAGGGUUUAAGCUACUCGACUGCGGAUCUUCGGCAUUUCCCUACUCUCUGCCUUGCAACCAUGCCGAAGCAAAUUCAUGAGAUAAAGGAUUUCCUUCUGACUGCCAGAAGGAAAGAUGCGCGAUCUGUGAAGAUCAAGAAAAGCAAGGAUGUUGUUAAGUUCAAGGUCCGUUGCUCCAAGUAUCUUUACACUCUUUGUGUCUUCGACUCCGAGAAGGCUGACAAGCUGAAGCAGUCUCUUCCCCCUGGUUUGAGUGUCCAUGAUCUUUAAACAAGAGGAGUUGCUGUUAGUAGCUGUUAGGCAAUUGAAACCAGCUGUUUUUGUUUUAUCAAGUUUUGCUAUUAGUGAAAUGCUUUGUAAUCCUUUUGAACAAGCUGCUUGAGAGAUAUGAUUUGGCCCCUAAACUUUAUUGUAUUGACCUUACAAUAUUUCGAUACAUGCUUCUGGUUUUUAUUGCUUUUGAUUGUGAAAA